GUGAGGAAUAUUGGACAAUGGGCGCAAGCCUGAUCCAGCCAUGCCGCGUGCAGGAAGACGCAUCUAUGGUGUGUAAACUGCUUUUGUACGGGAAGAAACACUCCCUCGUGAGGGAGCUUGACGGUACCGUAAGAAUAAGGAUCGGCUAACUCCGUGCCAGCAGCCGCGGUAAUACGGAGGAUCCAAGCGUUAUCCGGAAUCAUUGGGUUUAAAGGGUCCGUAGGCGGUUUAAUAAGUCAGUGGUGAAAGCCCACCGCUCAACGAUGGAACGGCCAUUGAUACUGUUAGACUUGAAUUACAAGGAAGUAACUAGAAUAUGUAGUGUAGCGGUGAAAUGCUUAGAUAUUACAUGGAAUACCAAUUGCGAAGGCAGGUUACUACUUGUGGAUUGACGCUGAAGGACGAAAGCGUGGGGAGCGAACAGGAUUAGAAACCCGGGUAGUCC
rnacentral:rRNA from 1 species